UCUUUCAAUAAUUUAAGUGGUCCAAUUCCUGUGUCUAUUGGAAACUUGACUGCCCUGACUCUAUUAGCCCUCGCUUGGAACGAUCUUUCCAGCUCCAUUCCUGAAGAAGUUGGUAAUUUGAGACAUCUGAAGGAACUUUACCUGUCGGGAAAUAGUCUCAACGGGUCGAUCCCGAGAUCAAUUGGAAAAUUGGUCAACUUAAGUGCACUGGGUUUGCACUAUAACAAUCUUUCUGGUUUUGGUAAUUUGAGACAUCUGAAGGAACUUUACCUGUCGGGAAAUAGUCUCAACGGGUCGAUCCCGAGAUCAAUUGGAAAAUUGGUCAACUUAAGUGCACUGGGUUUGCACUAUAACAAUCUUU
rnacentral:lncRNA from 1 species